rnacentral:rRNA from 1 species
UACGAGGGGGGCGAGCGUUGUCCGGAAUUAUUGGGCGUAAAGAGCUCGUAGGCGGUCUGUCGCGUCUGCUGUGAAAUCCCGAGGCUCAACCUCGGGCUUGCAGUGGGUACGGGCAGGCUAGAGUGCGGUAGGGGAGAAUGGAACUCCUGGUGUAGCGGUGGAAUGCGCAGAUAUCAGGAGGAACACCGGUGGCGAAGGCGGGUCUCUGGGCCGAUACUGACGCUGAGGAGCGAAAGCGUGGGGAGCGAACAGG